AUUGAACGCUGGCGGCAGGCUUAACACAAGCAAGUCGAGCGGGGGAAGGUAGCUUGCUACCUAACCUAGCGGCGGACGGGUGAGUAAUGCUUAGGAAUCUGCCUAUUAGUGGGGGACAACAUUUCGAAAGGGAUGCUAAUACCGCAUACGCCCUAAGGGGGAAAGCAGGGGAUCUUCGGACCUUGCGCUAAUAGAUGAGCCUAAGUCGGAUUAGCUAGUUGGUGGGGUAAAGGCCUACCAAGGCGACGAUCUGUAGCGGGUCUGAGAGGAUGAUCCGCCACACUGGGACUGAGACACGGCCCAGACUCCUACGGGAGGCAGCAGUGGGGAAUAUUGGACAAUGGGGGGAACCCUGAUCCAGCCAUGCCGCGUGUGUGAAGAAGGCCUUUUGGUUGUAAAGCACUUUAAGCGAGGAGGAGGCUACCGAGAUUAACACUCUUGGAUAGUGGACGUUACUCGCAGAAUAAGCACCGGCUAACUCUGUGCCAGCCGCCGCAGUAACAC
rnacentral:rRNA from 1 species